AGGAUGAACGCUGGCGGUCUGCUUAACACAUGCAAGUCGAACGGGCGUAGCAAUACGUUAGUGGCGGACGGGUGAGUAACGCGUGAGAAUCUACCUUCAGGACGGAGACAACAGUUGGAAACGACUGCUAACCCCCGAUGUACUGAAAAGGCAAAUAUUUAUAGCCUGAAGAAGAGCUCGCGUCCGAUUAGCUAGUUGGAGAGGUAAAAGCUCACCAAGGCGACGAUCGGUAGCUGGUCUGAGAGGACGAUCAGCCACACUGGGACUGAGACACGGCCCAGACUCCUACGGGAGGCAGCAGUGGGAAUUUUCCGCAAUGGGCGAAAGCCUGACGGAGCAAGACCGCGUGGGGGAAGAAGGCUCUUGGGUUGUAAACCCCUUUUCUCUGGGAAGAAAGUUGUGAAAGCAGCCUGACGGUACCAGAGGAAUCAGCAUCGGCUAACUCCGUGCCAGCAGCCGC
rnacentral:rRNA from 1 species